AUCUCUUACAGUAUAUUAUUAUUAGUAUAUUCGCGUAUAUUUUCAAGAUAUACUUUUGAAUUACGCAGAAUAUUCGUUACAGGAUGUCGUAUGGAGCCAUUUAAGUGCAGAGCGUUUUGGCGCGUAAACGUACACGCCACGCGGUUUGUGAUAGUGUUUUUUCUAUGAUAGUGGGUUACCGGUCUUUUUCCUGUGAUAUCUUGUCGCAUGACGGUGUGAAACAUUGCAAGAAAAUAUUAUCGCAGCUUUAUAUUCAUAUACACAACAGUAGUGUGUUCUCUACAGUAGUGCGACAAAGAAAUAGCAUUGUCACAAAAGAAAUAUUGAGACUAAUAUAUUGGGGAUCGCUUUAUUUAUCUGCAUUAUUUUAAAAAAGUCUGCAUCAUUCUAGAAAAGUUUGUUCUCUACGCAUAGCUCGUGGAACACACAGUAAGAAGUAAGUAUAAUCAUAUUUCUUUCUUUU